GACAGAGGGUGCGAACGUUGUUCGGAAUUACUGGGCGUAAAGCGCGUGUAGGCGGCAGCGCAAGUCGGGCGUGAAAUCCCACGGCUCAACCGUGGAAGUGCACUCGAAACUGCCGAGCUAGAGUCUCGGAGAGGAAGGUGGAAUGCUUGGUGUAGAGGUGAAAUUCGUAGAUAUCAGGCAGAACACCUGUGGCGAAGGCGGGUCUCUGGGCCGAUACUGACGCUGAGGAGCGAAAGCGUGGGGAGCGAACAGG
rnacentral:rRNA from 1 species